GGAUUAUAAAAAAGAAAAGGGAAGGUGAUGACUUGAGAGUGGAAAGAUGGCAGCGUCACCUCAGUUCGGAAGAGUGGAAUACUCCCAUGCUUCGUUUCCUACAAAAUCAAAGCCCUGGUGCAAGUGUCCUGAUGAGGAUACCUCCCAGCCUGCUUGCAUACGUGAGAUAAAUGAAAAUCACUGGGAGGGGCUGCCAGGAAGCUCCCGUGACCUUCCCUCUUUCUCCUGCUUCUAGUCUGGAGCUCUUCUGGGGUGGUUCGACCUCAAGCAGAAAUCGUCGUCAGUCUCAGGAUAAUCAAAAAUGGAAACACAUGCUAAGAUUGCCAGAGCAGAAAGAUGGAUGAAAUAUGGGGCCCUGGUGACUGAGGAGCUGCAAUGACUGCCCUAGUCCUGACUCUGGACUUGACAAGAGAAAAAUAAGCUUCUAUAAUGUGCAUGCCACUGUCAUUCUGGGAUUCUGACGUAGCAGCUGAAUGCAUAUCCUGGCACAAAUAUGUUAUAAAAAAAGAUACUUUGCAGACAAUGUCAUAUAUACAUGUAUAUA